GCCUGAUACAAAUGGGUUAUAUGUUAAAAAAAACCCUAAAAGUUUUACUUCAUUUUUCAGCAACCGUAACUCAGAUUACAUCUCUCUCCUCUUGCUCUCCCCUCUCUCUCUCUCCUCAGAGAUUACUUCCUUUAAUGGCGAUUUUCUCUCAGUUCUUUCUCUCUUCCACCUGUCCUUACCUCAAUUUUAUCUCUACUUCCUCCAUUGUUGAACCUCUCUUCACUUUCAGCCUCCAAUUUCACAGCCUAAUUAUACCUCAUACUAACCCUAAGAUUUUUAAGAAGAAUCAUGCAUCGUUGUACGUUCAACAAGCUGCUUACGAUUCUGAUGAAGAAGAUGAUGCGCACUGAGAUCAUCAUUAAGGCUUCUCGUACCCAAAUGUUCUUGGUGAUUUCCCUAUUUUUUGGCUUUCUGAUUUGAUUUAAUAUUAUUAGGGUAAGGUUGAUUCUCAUAUCCAAAGUUAACAAGAGAAUCUCUUAAGAACUAACUGUAUACCUGAAGUUAGGGUGUUUCCGGGUUAUCGAACUCCUCAGAUCCAAUUUCAGCGAAAGCCAGGUUCUUUUAAGGUGGAUUAUUGAACUGUCUGGUUGUGAUUAUUCAAGUUAUGAUUGCUUAUUAUGAGUGAUUUUACUGCUGCAAUUUUGCUAUCUGCAAUUUGUUUCUGCCUUUGUUUAAUUUCUUAUUGGUUUCUCUCCUCCAUUGUUUUGUUUGGAGCCUCCACUCUUUCUUCAAAACUUACCUUCAACUCGCCGCCGGUGAGCCACCAUGGUCCACGUCGUCUACGAAACUAGUCGCCUGACGCUGUCCACCGUUCUCCGGCAGUUCGCAGCAGUGAGGCCAAUGACGAGGUUCGACAGACGACAGCGCACAGCGGACAACCUUCAAUUCCGUUAGACAGUCACCAAAAUUAAAAAACCAAAGUCCUGUCUGUCGCUCGGUCGCUGCCUGCCAAACCCCUCAUCGUCGUCGGUCGUCCGUCAGUCGCCAGUCGCCGCCUCGGUCAUCUUCUGGUCUUCGCUGCAUCUAAAGGAUACAAAUCUAAACUCGAUGGUGUAUAGAUGGGAAGACAUUUAAGAAGCCACACCUUCUUUAUGAGAAGCAGCGAUUGGAUGCUGAGUUGAAGCAUGUAGGUGAGUAUGAGCCGUAUCCGUAAUGUUUCAAGGCAUCUUCUUACUUUGGAUGAGAACCCUCGCCGUAUCUUUGAGGGAGAAGAUCUUUUGAGGAGGAUGAAUAGGUACGAGCUAUUGGAUGAAGGAUAGAACAAGCCCGAUUACAUGUUGGCUCUUACCGUUGAGAACUUCUUGGAGAGGUGUCUUCAGACCCUCAUCUUCAAGUAUGGUAUGGCCAAGUCUGUUCACCAUGCUAGGGUGCUUAUCAGGCUGAGGCAUAUUAGGAGUGCUUUUCUCUUGUAUGCCACCAUAAGAUGGAUCAAAUUUCUUGCAUUGUUCUUUAAAAAAUAGAGGAAAAAGAGGCUUCAACUGUUCCUGAUUGGGAUUGGAGUUGAUUGGAAUUAAGUUCGGCCUUGCGAGCGAUCAUGAAAUUGAUUUUUGUCCAAGGAAAGUCCCGUAUGAUGUUGAAGAGUUGAAUGUGGUUCGAGAACAGUGGGCGCAAUACUUUAGAACUAUAUAUUUAUUGAAUGCAUAACUAUUAGCUUAGGUAGAACAAAGUUAUUAGUGUUGUUGUAUGUGUUGGAUAAAUUUAUACAAGUUUUUAUUUGUAAUGUCUUACUACUUAAAUUUUUAUAUUAUGUCGUAUUAAUUUUUACGAAAGUUUGUUCG